rnacentral:lncRNA from 1 species
AUUAUUUUGUACAUGUGUACUUAUUUGUACAUGAAUUUACACUGGAAGUGUGCAGUGCAGAGGCAGCACAACAGGUCUUAAGUUGGAUCCUCCAAUUUCUAGCUUUGUGACUUCAGAAAUGGAGAUGGGGCUCAGAGUCCCACAGCCUCCCACUGGCAGGCCCGAGUAUCAUCUGAAGCCACCCAGCUCUGUGCCUGCCUGCAGCCCCAGACCUCCAGCUUUCUACUAACGUCAGCAUUGCCUGCCCUGGGGCAACCCCUGUUUCUCCAUGUGUCUCCUCUGGGUCUGGUCAUGAUGCCUGGGGAGCCAAUGCUGCUUUGCUGUGUUGUAUCAUUUGGGAUCAACUUGCCUGACUCUUACAAAGGACUUGAAACCUUGGGGAGAUAAAUAAAAUUCAAGAUACCUCAGGCUCUCAGCAAGUCACAAGAAAACAAGAAAACAUGAUGCUGUCUGAGCAAUUGGUACAGGAAGCCUGGACACAUUGCUGAGGAAAUCAGAACUUCUUUGCAAAAGAUGGUGACAAUCUGUGGCCAAGAUGCUGCCGGGAGAUGAUUACAGGCACAGGAGAGGAGUUUCAGGCAGAAAACAAAAGAAGAGGGAACAUUUCACAACUCAUUUUAUGAAGCCAGCAUUACCUUGGUACCAAAACUGGGCAAAGACAGUACAAUAAAAUUUCAGACCAGUAUCCUUCAUGAACAUAGACACAAACACAAUCAACAAAAUAUUUCAGCAACAUUCAUCAACAAAUUCAAAUCCAACAAUACAUUAAAAGGAACAAUACACCAUGGCAAGGGCAAUUUAUCCCAAGAAUGUAAGGUUUGUUCAUCAAAAAUGAAUCAAUGGAACUGUCAAACUAUCAGUAUGAAGAAGAAAGAAACACAUGAUCAUAUUAAUUGAAGCAGAAAAAGCAUUUGGCAAACUAGAACAUGUAUUCAUGGUAAAAACUUUCAGCAAACUAAGAAUAAAAGAGAACUUCCCCAACUCUGUAAAGGGUGUCUACAAAAACCCUACAGCUAACAUCCUACUCCAUGCUGAAAGACUGAAUGCCCCUUAAUUCAGAAUAAGACAAAGAUAUUCUCUUCCACCAUCCAAAUGUUCUUCAACUAAUGGAUGAAUAAAUAGGCCGUGGUAGAUACAUACAAUGAAAUUGUACUCAGCAGUAAAAAGGAACAAGCUAUUGAUACACAUGACAGCCUGGAUAACACUAUGCUUAGUAAAAGGAAGCUAGUCUCAAAAAUUUACAGAUUGUAUUAUUCUAUUUAUUUGAUGGUCUCAAAAAAAGCACUGGAAGACAGGUCAGAGGUUGCCAGGGAUUAUAGGUGGGGAAGGUGAUGACCACAAAAUACAGCAUGAGGUGCUUUACUGAGGUGGUAGAGCUGUUCUUUAUCCUGAUUAUGGCAGUGUUCACAUGAAUCUAUACAUGUGUUAAAAUUCAUAGAAAUGUACACCAAAAAAGAAAAAAAGCAUCCCUGAGAAAUCCUUUAGGCCACCUGCAUUUGUUCAAACAGGAGGAUAUGGAAGCCAUUUCAGCCAGAAUAUAUUGCUGGGGAAACAAAUUCCAUGACCUCUCCUGGCGCUAGUCCUAGAACCAUCCAGCCUCCUGCCAACCACCACCUUCCUUUUCAGCGUCUCUUUCUCUGCCUCCUUCCUGCCAUCUGCAUCUCUGUGUGUUCACCUCCAAAUCUGCUCCCAGAAAAUAUUCUUGUGUCAACCACUGGAUAUGAGUCAGUGAGUUACCUUGUUCCAAGUUGUCUGCAUAUUAAGUCUUCAUUUUAAAUACCUAAUCAGAGUCUCUCCUUUAAGGGCAUUCCAGGCACCUAAGAGCAGAAAGGAGUUGUUUUGGGAAAUCCUUCCAGUGCCCAUGAAAUCACUUAUGUAGGCAGCUGCCUAUGGAUAAUGUUGGCCCCACUGCUGACUUUUUGGAACUUUCCAUUGUUCUCAGCAUUGCCUUUAAAUUCGGGUUUUUUUGUUUGUUUGUUUUUUCCCACAUGUCAUAAAAUGGCAGCCAGCAGAAAUCAAGGCUCUGUGCCUCCUUACUCAUAUUUUGCAGGAGAAAGGCAGCAUUAACGUAUCUUUCAAUCAUGGAAUAUAGCUGAGUUUUUUCCCAGGAGAUCCAUGGUCGCCUCUAAGCCAAUAACAAUUGCCAAGAGAAGGAAUGGGCUGUGUGUUGGACUAAUUAACAGAGGGAAAAUGUCUUUUACAGGGUCUUCAUCAGUAGACACAGUAAUGACGUUGGAACCUCUCAGACCCAGGUUCUAAUCCUGGCUUUCUCUUAGUUAUUUCAAGCUGACGAUUUUCUGCUUAAAAUAAAAUUUUAGAAGUUAUGCAUGAAGCAUUUGGUAGCUAGGAGGCACUCGAUAAACGCUACUAAAAUAAUUAUAACAACCCCAGAACCAGCUCAUUUAGCUGCCAAUAUCUGAAAGCAUCAUAGUGAUGGAAACAAAUGUGAAGAGGAAGUGAUGAUGUGACAGGUACGGUGGAACUGAAUGAGGAGAAUAAGAUAUUUCUAAUUCAUUACUCUCUUAGGUGAAACUUAAGCCAAAUAAGAUAUUUUUUAGUCCAUUAGUCUGUGAAGUUUUUAGCAACCCCUAGUGUACAAAACAGCUUAGAAAAAUUGUUUUUUUAUUCACCCUCUGUAUAGAAAUACACUAGUGGGGGAUCUGGAAAUUAUAGUAAUUCACAGAAAUCUGCAUAAAUAGGGAGACUAGAAUUUUAUUUCUUAGGCCUUAAGGGGGAAAUAAAAACCUUCUACAGAAGUGGUUCCCAUCCUUGGCUGCCCAUUAGAAUGACCUGGGGAGCUUUUAAAAGCCUUAAAUGCCAGGUCAUUAGACUCAGACCAAUACCAGUAGAGUCUCAGAAUGGGAGCCAGGUGGUUACAAUGUAGAGUCAAGGUUGGGAGCUAGCGUGCUACAGGUAUAUGGUGCUUUUUGCUGAUCUAGUUGAGCUUUACAAGAAUGGACCACCUUAUUAAAGAGCUUCCACUGAAGUCAUUGAGAUGAUAUAUUCUGUUGAGUGCAAAAGCCUCUUAAAACGACACCCUACUGGGAUCCUUAGCGAACAUACAGCCACAAGUAGUUUUUAGGUAAUCUCGACAGAGCUGAAUUAAUAAUGUAUUUCUGGUUUGGGUGAAUAAUUUCAUACUUCAGCCCAGUAGGAGUUCCAUCAUUUCUUCUACAACUCUUCUCUAUUUGCCACCCAUGAAUGAAUUUUACAUUCCCAGAGUUAAAGGCAGGGAAAGAACAUCCUGAGAGAUGAAGAGAUUAUGCAGAAUAAAACACAAAGCUCUAUUAUUCAAAUAAGUAUUUGUGAAACAAAGAAACAUUCACUCUAGCAACUUUGAGGAAAUAGAAUGUGGAAAGCAAUUAGUCAUCAACAUUUAAUUUCAAAUUGAGAGCUUUGGCUAGCUGUUUUGCUGGAGGAACAUGUAUCUUCACUUAAAAGUGCACCUCAAUUUAAAUAUGCCAAGUUUUCUCACUUUCACCUCUUCCCUGGAAGCCCAUUUUGAGAUUUAUCAAAUUGAUGCCUUCUUAUGUAUUUACUGGCAGUGCAUUUUAAUCAACGAGUCUUCAAACAGUUUUGCUGAAUUACAGGACUAGCUUAACUGCAUUAAAAUUGUCUGCUAUAAUUCUACACAUAAAGAGAGGAAUAGAGAGUUUAAAAUUUUUCUAACAAAUUCUCACAAGUAGACACUUGAUGAAUAAAAAUUUAAAAAUUCAAUUUCAAUAGAACUUCCCAAACCAUUGCAAAAUGGGUUAUAUAAAGAAAAGAAGGUUAUUGUCAGUUUACUUUGAAAAAACAUUGUGAGAUGCCAGGAAAAACUUAAAAGAAGAAGAAAAAAAUCAUCAAUGAGUGGUAAUUUGAUGACAUACUGGAUAUGUAUGUAGUCUCAAAAUAACUUCCCGCAAAUCACUUAUUAAUUCUAAGGGAGAAAGCCACAACUUUCCUGUAGAAAAACCUGGCAGACAAUACCUAAAGGAGGUAUCGCAACCCUCAGCCCUUGGGGAGGUUUUAGCUACCAUGAAAUCAUAUUAUGGGAACUUACCUCCUCCCUUGAAACAGCCUUAGCAAAAACUGGUGCAAGUCUAUCGGUGCUGGAAAAGUCUUUGGACUCACUAGCGGGAAUGGCUUUUGAUAAUAGAUGAGCCCCGGAAUACCUCCUAGCUGAACAAGGAGGAGUCUGUGCUGUCGUCAGCAAAACCUGUUGCACCUACAUUAAUGUGUCUGGAAAAGUGGAAACUAAAGUGGCAUCAUUUGUCUGGGGUAAUACCCAAGGUUUGUUGACUCAUGCCAAGGAAAUCAAGGAUGUGGACACACGAAGAGUAAAGUUAAGAGUGGAGGUUUAAUAAGUGAAAGAAAGAGAAAAGUUAUCUCCUGCAGAGAGAAGGGUCCUGGAGAAGUGGGUUGCCACUUCCAUGGUGAAAUGCAGAAAGUUUUACAGAUGAGCUUGAGGAGGUGGUGUCUGAUUUACGUAGGGCAAAAGAUUGGUUGGACCGGGCAUGCCAUUUGCAUAGCAUUCAAGAAUCUGGCCACCCCCACCCCAAUUUUUUAUUAUGCAGAUGAAUUCUCUACCUGGCCGGUGCCAUGUUGCCUGCUGCUUUACUGUACAUGUGGUGACAAAGAAAAGGGAAAAUGGAGCCCCCGUGUUGAACACGCCUGGCUCUCAGGUAGCCUUUUCUAUUGGCACAGCUGCCAGCAUUCACCCGUGCAAGCUUCCAGCUUGCUUAUCUAUGCCUGCAGCUCGAUUUUUCAGGCUGCUCUUUGUUAGAACAGAAAUUAUUUUUGGGGCUGCCUUUUGUUAAAAGAGAAAUUCUGCUGAGGACUCUGUUGCUCUCACUAUCUGCCUAAAUAAUUUCUUUCUAGCUCCUGUAUCACUAAUUUGAACAUUAAUGUUCAAAUAAGCCAAAUGGCUACACACACUUUCCCAAAGUAACCAAAACGUGCCAAAACCUUUACUGACUGGUUUCCAGAAAUCACUUGGCUUCUCCCAUUCCUUGGACCUUUAUUCCUCGUUAUUCUUCUUUUAAUAUUUGAUCCUGCCUCUUUAAAACUCUCAUUAAGUUUAUAUCUUCCAGAUUACAAGGAUUCCACCUGUAGAUGACUAGGCAAUCCCAAUAUCGGCCUGCAACAGCAACUUCCAUUUACAUGGGGCCUCUUGCUGGAAUCCGGUCUUUCCCCAUGAACAAGUUUCAAGUUUUUCAUGAUCUUUCAUUCCCUUCAUGACAGAGAGCAAGAAAGGGAAAAAUGCAACUCAUCCCCUCUAUGGCCCCUUUCAGCAGGAAGUAGCCAGACAGACCCAAUGCUCCUCUUCACUGUGCCAUUUUCCCUUUCUUGAGACCGCAAUAGGCAGCAGGUAGACAUGAGGAUGGAGGAAUAUAAAGCGGAAAAGAUUCAACCAAGAUAUUUGUCAGGGGGAAAAUGAGGAGAGCAAAGAUCACCUGGUGGCCAUCCAGCAGAACAUCCAGAGGCAAAAAUCUUUAUCAGAAGUAACUGGACUUCCCUAUUAUCUAAAGCAAGCAUCUGGUUCCAGGUUUCUUUCCCAAAAAUUUAUAAGUAACUAGAAUUUCUAUACAUCUCUGGAAUGCAAGCAUAUAGAAACUCCUCGUGCAUUCCUUGCUGACUUAGGCACCAAUGUCUACAAAUGUCAUCAUUUAUUAUGAUUUAUUAUGAUCAUCAUUAUUAUGACCUGUGUGGCUAACAUGGUCCAAAUUACCCUUAAGCCCCCGUUUAGGGUUCAUAAAUACCCCUAAGGAAAAUACCCCUGAGACAGGCACGCUCAGUCCUUGUCUCGCUGAAGGGCCUCACUGCACUCUUCUGCAGCGUUCUUCCUUUCCUUUCUAAUAAAACUUUUCUUUUUCAAACCUAUACUGUUGUCUGUAAAUUCUUCUUACCAACCUGCAAGUGGACCACUUUCUGAUGCCAGGGCUCUGACACCUCACCCAGCAAGAGGUGAUUAAAGUUAACAUCAGUAAUGGGGCAAAGACACUUCAUGUACCUCCUGCUUGGAUGCACUGAGAACACAAUAUUGUUACCGUGGCUUUCCUACCAAAAAUGCACAGUCUAAAUCUAACCACAAGGAAACACCAGACACACUCAAAUUAAGAGACAUUCCACAAAAGAACUGACCGGUGCACAUCAAAAACAUUCAGUUCAUGAAGGAUUAAAGCAGUCUAAAGAGACAUGACAUCAAAGCAAUGUCUGAUCUUGAACUGGAUUUUUCCCCCUUUUUCUAUAAGCGACAUUAGUGGGGAAAAAAUGGCUAAAUUUAAGUAAGUAUUGUAUGUGAAAGAAUAAUGUAGAAUCAAUGAUAAUUUCCUGAUGCUGAUAAUUUAUACUGUGAUUGUAUAAAAGAAUGUUCUUGUCUUUAGAAAAAUAUACUUUGAAGUAUUUACAAGUAAAGGGAAAGCAUGUCUGUAACUUAGUUUCAAAUGUUUAUUAAAAAUGUAUGUAUAUAUAAUAUACAUAUAUGUGCAUAUAAAUACAAUUAUAUGUAUAGAGAGAGAGAGGGGGAAACAAAAGCAAAUUUGAAAAUUGUCAACACUCAGAGAAUCUGUGUUGAUGAAUCAAUUUCAAGAAUCAUUGAAAAUUGUUAAACUAUUACAAAGGAUUGCAGCAUUCUUCGCAAUAUUUUUGCAAUUUUCAGUGACAAAUUAUCUCAAAUAAAAACUAAAAAAUAAAGGAAGCAGAAAUCUCCAUGUUUUAAGGACAGAUAGAUGGGAAGGGCAAUCCAUAUAAUCCUACUAUUUGGCACAUCUGGGAAGUGCAGGAAGGUCUGACUAAAUUGGGAAGGAUAUUACGAGGAAAGUUCAACCUAUGCUCAGUGGAAGUUCAUGAGUUUCUUUUUAUGAUUUAGGAAUCAAGACUCCGAGAGUUUGUGCAACUCCUGGAGCAUUUUGAAAAUUUGAACUUGAGGCCCGGCGCGGUGGCUCACGCCUGUAAUCCCGG